UAGGGAAUCUUCCGCAAUGGGCGAAAGCCUGACGGAGCAACGCAGCGUGAGUGAUGAAGGUCUUCGGAUCGUAAAACUCUGUUAUUAGGGAAGAACAAAUGUGUAAGUAACUAUGCACGUCUUGACGGUACCUAAUCAGAAAGCCACGGCUAACUACGUGCCAGCAGCCGCGGUAAUACGUAGGUGGCAAGCGUUAUCCGGAAUUAUUGGGCGUAAAGCGCGCGUAGGCGGUUUUUUAAGUCUGAUGUGAAAGCCCACGGCUCAACCGUGGAGGGUCAUUGGAAACUGGAAAACUUGAGUGCAGAAGAGGAAAGUGGAAUUCCAUGUGUAGCGGUGAAAUGCGCAGAGAUAUGGAGGAACACCAGUGGCGAAGGCGACUUUCUGGUCUGUAACUGACGCUGAUGUGCGAAAGCGUGGGGAUCAAACAGG
rnacentral:rRNA from 1 species